UCUACUGAGCCAUGUCAGGGCAAAGCUCCAGAUUAUGACAGCACAAAGCCCUAGCAGUCCAUGGAAUACCAGCCUCCUACUUCUUUGUUGUCCUCUCUCCCUACUCCAAACUGUUCUGAGUUCAGAAUUAAUAAGAGAAAGGCAUGCUCAGAAGCGAUGAGCCACCUAAAAACCCUUAGGACCACCUGUCCUGCAUCACACUCCUGAUCAACUCCACCCUCAGGAGAUCCUCUACCAGACUAUACCAGAGAAGUCGAAAGCCUGUGCAGGAAUGCAUAGAAACCUGGAAAACCAGGAGUUUCCAAACUUGGAUAAAAGAAGCAAAAGCAUCAGCUCUUUGGAUGAUGAAGGCCUGUGAAGAGCCUCUGGCACUACAGCAGCUAGCCAGCAGCAGAGGGAAGCAUCCUGAUCAGUACCAACUUCAGUUCUCCCUGUCCUGUGACGGAAAUGGAUAUUGUCUUCAGCAAUAGGGUGCUCUCAUCUAGCCCUAGUAGCUCCUGAUGUGAGUUCUCAGCUUGCUAUUCCAGCAGCCAUCUCCGUGGCCUCUGUUCCUCUCACACUGCCAGAGAUAGAGAAAGGAGAGACCUGACCUGCACUGCAAUAGUGAAAGGUGCCUUCAACGCCACACCUCACCCAGUUGAACUUCCAAUUUGUGAAAGAAAAGGGCCUAGGGAGUGUUCUGUUGCCACGGCAAAUCAUCAUCCCGCUGCAAAGGUGACUUGAGGGGACAGGGGUAGCAGCAGAGUUUGGCAGUGUCUUCCAACUUUCGCAAAGAUGCAGGAAGGAGUAAAAGAGCUGCGGAAUCUUCUCCUGCAGUUUCACAGAUGUGCCAAGGCCAGGUGUGGGGCAGGCUCCUACAUGGAGGCCUUGAGGGGCUAUGGAAUAGAAUUGUGGAAAUAAAGCCUGCCUUGUGUUGGAAACCCCAUAUUUGGAGUGUCCAGAGCUGUGGGAUGUCUGCCAAAGAAAGCUGUAUGCAGGAAGUGGAACCAGCCCAAGGAAGAGAUGUAUAUUAUAGGCAACAAAUCUGGGAGGGA